CCUACGGGGGGCAGCAGUGAGGAAUAUUGGUCAAUGGACGAGAGUCUGAACCAGCCAAGUAGCGUGAAGGAUGACUGCCCUAUGGGUUGUAAACUUCUUUUAUAUGGGAAUAAAAUGUUCCACGUGUGGGAUUUUGUAUGUACCAUAUGAAUAAGGAUCGGCUAACUCCGUGCCAGCAGCCGCGGUAAUACGGAGGAUCCGAGCGUUAUCCGGAUUUAUUGGGUUUAAAGGGAGCGUAGGUGGAUUGUUAAGUCAGUUGUGAAAGUUUGCGGCUCAACCGUAAAAUUGCAGUUGAAACUGGCAGUCGUGAGUACAGUAGAGGUGGGCGGAAUGCGUGGUGUAGCGGUGAAAUGCUUAGAUAUCACGAAGAACUCCGAUUGCGAAGGCAGCUCACUGGACUGCAACUGACACUGAGGCUCGAAAGUGUGGGUAUCAAACAGGAUUAGAUACCCCUGUAGUC
rnacentral:rRNA from 1 species